CAGCAGCCGCGGGAAUACGUAGGGUGCGAGCGUUAAUCGGAAUUAUUGGGCGUAAAGGGUGCGUAGGCGGUUUGGUAAGUCUCGUGUGAAAUCUAUGGGCUCAACCCAUAGUCUGCACGAGAAACUGCCGGGCUUGAGUAUUGGAGAGGUGAGUGGAAUUCCGGGUGUAACGGUGAAAUGCGUAGAUAUCCGGAGGAACAUCUGUGGCGAAAGCGGCUCACUGGACAAUAACUGACGCUGAUGCACGAAAGCUAGGGGAGCAAACAGGAUUAGAUACCCCUGUAGUCCCUGUCUCUUAUAC
rnacentral:rRNA from 1 species